UUGCAAUUAUAAGAUUCUUAUUAAAAUAUUCAUUUUUGUGUUGUACAAUUUUAAAAAUAAAUUUCGAAAAAAUUAUCAGUGGAGGAAUACAUCUUUUUUUUUGCUACUCAAUCGUUAUCAUUGAUUUUUGAAUAUUUGAUUCAGAAUAUAUGAAUAUUAUUAGAUUAGUAAAAGAAAUUAUAAAUAUUAUUCGAAUAAUUUCCAAAUCAAAAUUACUAAUUAGCACUAGAAUGGGCUUCGACAGGGUGGUCGGAAUUAAGAUAAAUGACAAGUAAUCAGAAAUUCUUAUUUGGUGAAUAAAUGGGUGAACCAAUAAAAAUUACUUUUAUGCAAACUCAUGAGAUUAGCUUAUUAGUAUAUAAUAUAUCAUGGUAUUACUCAAACCAUUUAUACUCUAAACACAACUGACGAUGACGACUAGACAAAUUUCUGCAGAACUGAGACAAAGAACUACACAAACUCACAGAGCAACUAAAACAAAACACUUAUUCUUCUAACCACAACUGACGAUUAUUUAACUAUUAAUAUUUGAGUAGUGUCAGUAACAAACAUAGGAAAUAUGUUUACACUAUAUUUUUCUUUAUUAAUAUUACUAGUUAGUAGUAUAAUUUUAGUUGUUAUGAUAUAUAUAUAUAAAUAAAAUACACCUUUAUAAAUCCCCAAUUUUCGUACAAUAAAAAUUACAAGAUGACAUGUAUAAAAAAAUAA